rnacentral:misc_RNA from 1 species
CAACCCUCAAGCACAGCUUGGUGUUGGGCCCUGCCAGCGAUGGCAGGCCCUAAAAUUAGUGGCGGUGCCGCUGAGCCCUGAGCGUAGUAAUUCUCCUCGCUACAGGCCCUCGGCGUGCCCCCGCCAGAACCCCCAAUCUACUAUG